rnacentral:lncRNA from 1 species
AAACAGAGCGAAGGUGCUGCAAUGCGCUGCCUUGCCACAACAAAAGCAACACAGUAGGAUGACUGAAGGACGCAACACUUCUGGACGGGAAUCACAUGUUCAUGAUUUGUUUUGAAAUGUACAAGGAAGAUAUCGGCAUUCUCCUUGCGCCAUCAGCUGUUCAACAUCUGCGAGCUGCAAAGGCUCUCCUGUGUGACAAGGAAGCAGUAGACGCAUCAUUCGCAAUGCUCAUUUUAUGUGCUUCCAAGGGAUGCGGCCAAAGGACGAUCUGCGGAUGUGCGAGUCACGUUUAUGGGAGCUGCAAAAAAGAAUUAAAGUGUAUCCCCAGUGUUUGUUACAUACUUUUAUUAUACUAUAACAGUAUAUUUCUGAACAAACCAUCUGAAACAUGGCGGAUCGGUGGCACUGCAGAAAGCCGAUGAAUGCUUGUCAAAGCAUAGAAAUACACAAAGCAGCAUAAAAUCUUGCCACUUGUGUAGCCGUUGCAUCUUUCCCUUGCCCCAAGGAAGCACCCAGCGCAGUGAAGCGGACUUACGAGCUGCCGUCCAAGGACGUGGCACAUGCUCAACAUAAAUUUUUCUCACUUAAAACAAAAAUCACUAUAAUUAAACUUUCAGAAUCGAAUUUCCUUUGUACACCCUUUGAAACAAGUGCAAUUUUAAUUUGACUGCAUCACCAAACUGCAUGUGCCUGAACAUGAGUCAUGCAUUUCUUUAACUCACUCUCAAUUCCAAAUAGCGUUACAGAGGAGAGUUGUUAAUACAUGUACAUUAUACAAUGUUAAGCAAGGCAGCUUGAAAAGAUUAAUGGUCUGGGUUAUUGGCGACAAAGGCGAGGAGGUGGUUCUAUUCAGAUGCUGUCUUUGGCA